rnacentral:lncRNA from 1 species
CCCAGCUGAUAUAUCAAAGUACCAAAUUAUUUGGGGUCUUGGCCUUCUGGCCAAGUAAUGUAUAAGUAAAUAGUAAUUUAAUUGACAUCAGCCUUCUUCCAGUUAUUUCAAAGGUCUUAGUUUUCCCUUGUAAUAGGUUGGCUACAAUCCCUCGAAAAGUUAUUGCGAACUUUUUUAUUUUCUCUUUGCAUGUAUGUGCAAUCGAAGUCCCACGAAAAGAUACAUUUAUUGGAAAAAUUUAAAUAAAAAUAUUUUUAUGCCCCACCUACGAUAGUAGAGGGGCAUUAUGUUUUCUGGUCUGUGCCUCCGUUCGUCCGUUCGUUCGUCCCGCUUCAGGUUAAAGUUUUUGGUCGAGGUAGUUUUUGAUGAAGUUGAAGUCCAAUCAAUUUGAAACUUAGUACACAUGUUCCCUAUGAUAUCAUCUUUCUAAUUUUAAUGUCAAAUUAAAGUAUUGACCCCAAUUUCAUGGUCCACUGAACAAAGAAGAAGAUAAUGUGAAGCUCAGGUUAAAGUUUUUGGUCAAGGUAGUUUUUGAUGAAGUUGAAGCCCAAUCAACUUGAAACUUAGUACACAUGUUAACUAUGAUAUGAUCUUUCUAAUUUUAAUGCCAAAUUAAAGUAUUGACCCCAAUUUCACGGUCCAGUGAACAUGUAAAAUGAUAGUGCGAUUGGGGCAUCCGUGUACUAUGGACACAUUCUUGUUAGUCUGAUGCAAUGAUAGAUGUGCAAGUACAUUUCAUGAAAGAAUUCAAUUUAAAAUUUGGGCUGGAGCACUUAGUAAGCCAGACAUUGUUCUACCAACC